GCCCCGUUUUGCGAAUCUUGAGGUAGCACACGUUUGUCAGUGCCAAAAACUGCAGCGGAUCGUAGUAGGAUCGAGCUGCGCGUAAGAAUUGAAGCAACAAGCCUGUGUGGUGACUAGUCGAUUACUCGAUCUGCUCUAUCACAAGCUGUUUUUAGCCGCUCUGAUGAAACGAGUUCAGGCAAAGCUUCCAAAUGCAUGGCAACUUGUACAAUCACGGAAUGCGUGCUAUAUUGUUUAGUGAUAGCUGAUCAGUUACGAUGAUACGUGGGUGUAGCUAGCUAGUCGAUGGAUCCCAACCAAUAACCAGAUAUCCGGAUGACGGCAGCUGAUGUGUACCAGAUGUACCUGCUGCAAAUGAGCGAGGGUCAGAGCAGCUGGGACGCACUCGAGCAAUGGUCACAGAAGCUAGCCAGUGCUUGGUUUAGGAAUGUUUGGAUACACCUGCUAAAGUUAGUUUAGUAUCUGUCACAUCAUAUGUUUGGAUACUAAUUAGAAGAAUUAAACAUAGACUAAUUACAAAAUUAAUUGCACAUAUGGAGUCUAAUUCACGAGACGAAUUUAUUAAACCUAAUUAGUCCAUGAUUUGACAAUGUGGUGCUACAGUAACCAUUUGCUAAUGAUGGAUUAAUAAGGCUUAAUAGAUUCGUCUCGCGAAUCAGCUCGAGGUUCUGCAAUUAGUUUUAUAAUUAGCUCAUGUUUAGUCCUCCUAAUUAGCAUCCGAACAUUCAAUAUGACACUGCUAAAGUUUAGCAUCUAAUAUCCAAACACCCCCCUUAAUUGGGAAGAAAUAGGCAUCAAUUUACUCUUAAUUGGAUCGCAAACCAGGAUGCCGACUCUGUCCUCUCCGUCCAACCGGGUCAGCCAGCUAUGUUCGAUUGCUUGAGCUACUUUGCAGCGGUAGCGGCUGCAGCUGCAAGUCCAAGCAGCAGCCGUUCGGCUGCAACGUCCAGAAAAGUUAUUUUUCCACUCUCGUUUCCAUUAGCUAUUCCCAUUAUGUUAUUUUUUUAGUGGUUGCAGCAAUUGAACACGCUUGUGUGGUUGCAGCAGAGGUUCUUGACCGGCUGUAGCUGCAGCACAGUCGCAGCCUCACAGCACUGCAGAAAAGCACAAGCGAAGCGAUCAAUAUGGAUCGUCGGAGCUACUCUACUUGGACGAACAACACACUUGACUUGGGCGACUUGGACCCUGGGUCCCGGUCGACCGGAAAACUAGUAACCUAUCAAGACCAGAAAACUAGUAACCUAUCAAGUUGUCUGCUACCUACUUUUUUUUUGAUAAAAGCAAAGGAGCAGAGCAAGCAAAGUCGCCGGCGGCGACGACAAGCAGCAAAGCCAAGUGGUUGGGCUGCUAGAGGCGCCACAAACACAUGGAGGCAAAGUGGAGGAACCACGCCAAGCGACGGUUCAAAGUGGAUGAGGUAGCCGACGAUGUCCAUCUUCUCUGACGAACCAAAGAUUUGGUUAAAGCGAUCGUCGGAGCUUUCUUGAACGACAACCUCAAAGCCGAUGGAAGGCGUGCUGCUGCAACAGAGACGACGAGGUCGCAAGCUAGUUGUAGUUGAGCUUGGGGCUGCCUCGGGGUGGGCGGCAUGAAGUCGAAGGCGACGGCGAGCAUCGAGGCUAAGCCUGCUGGAGCAACGCCGAUGACUGAGCAAACUGAAGCAGAGACGCACGUACCAACGAUGAUAGCAGCCGAAAUCGCCUCCAGCACAGCCGAAUCAAAGGUGGAGGAGAGUGGAUCCAAGCGGCGGCGGGUGGAUGGAGUGGAAGCUGAAUCCAUGCAGCGAGGGGGAUUUAUUUCAUUCCGCACCUGUGGACCACCAGUGAUGAGGGAAGCACCGGCAUGGAGCUCACCAUGGAUGGCGAGGAACACAACGACGGUGACAGGGAUGCGGCUUCGGAGAGGGAGAGGAAGAAUCUCCAACCGAAGAAACAUGCUAAGAAAAGAUAUAUACACGGGUGGCGGGGGUCGGCCCACCUCCCUCUUGUCGCUGGCAGUGCCAGUAGAGGAGAAGAAGGAGGCUGGAAGUGGCGAGAUGUAGAAAGCUACAGUAGAGAGCGGAAGGGAUAGGGAUGAAGAGCUUUGCUCUAUUCUUGUGGAAACCGCUUUGAUGCAUACUUGUGCGGAAAUCGCCGGAGUUGAGUACCGACCAGCUCGACCUGCCGGUGUGGUUGGCACGUCAACGUGGCUCACCUGUUGGUCCUGGCUUGUGCCGGCCAAUGCUGUGGUGUGGCCGUGUGGGCUGCCACCAUCACCUUUUCUUCGCCCAGCGGGCCACCACUCGAGGCUACAAUACCGUGCCGCGGCACCUCCACUUAUCACAUUUCCUUCUCCCUCCACACAAACUGCUACAGUACUGCGUGCUGGAGUUGGGAGUGGACCUGCUCCCUCCGGUCGGAUUUCAGAUCGAAAGCGGAUGGAAGGAACGCUUUGAUCAGGGCACGUUUAUAGUACAUGAAUUUAGUGAACCUAAGCAUAUCAAGUAAUUA
rnacentral:lncRNA from 1 species